UUCUGUCUCGGAGAAAUGGGCUG
rnacentral:piRNA from 1 species